CCAGCAGCUGCGGUAAUUCCAGCUCCAAUAGCGUAUAUUAAAGUUGUUGCAGUUAAAAAGCUCGUAGUUGAACUUCUGGCUGUGGCUCCAGCAGGCUUCGGUCGCUGGCGUCGCGGUCAUCCGCUUGGUAACUACGUUCGGACUUCACUGUUCGGCGUAAGGAACAGGCAUUUUACUUAGAAAAAAUUAGAGUGUUCAAGGCAGGCUAUCGCCCUGAAUACACAAGCUUGGAAUAAUGAAAUAGGACUUUUUCCAUUUUAUUGGUUAUUGGAGAGAGUAAUGAUUAAUAGGGACAGUUGGGGGCAUUAGUAUUUCGUUGUCAGAGGUGAAAUUCUUGGACCAUUUGAAGACAAACUACUGCGAAAGCAUUUGCCAAGAAUGUUUUCAUUAAUCAAGAACGAAAGU
rnacentral:rRNA from 1 species